ACAAAUUCACCAUUGCCGUCCACCCGGACAGAAAUGCAACGAAGGGCUACUGGAGUGACCCUGUCACAAAAGAAUUCCAAACAGACCAAGAUGUACCAGGAGCAGCCCCAGAGAUGGUUGGAUUCAGACAGCACUCAGAAUCGUGUACCCAGAAAGAAAAGACAACUGCUGGAAUUACUUCAACGAUUUAUUUUAAGUCAAUACCAGAGGUGGAGAGAAAUGGUUUAAUCACAAGUUACAGAGUCAACUAUACUGAUCUAUCUGAUGGAGCAAUUGUUACAAAAGUCAUCGUCAAUAAGAAUACCACUUCUGUUAGCCAUCCACUCCCCUGUAACAAACUAUACAACAUAUCUAUCUCCGCUGCCACUGUCAAAGGAUACUCACCUCACCACUCCAGCCUCAUCAUUAACACUUCAGGUAAGUCACUCACACAGAUACUCACCUC